GACGAACGCUGGCGGCGUGCUUAACACAUGCAAGUCGAACGGAAAGGCCCUGCUUUUGUGGGGUGCUCGAGUGGCGAACGGGUGAGUAACACGUGAGUAACCUGCCCUUGACUUUGGGAUAACUUCAGGAAACUGGGGCUAAUACCGGAUAGGAGCUCCUGCUGCAUGGUGGGGGUUGGAAAGUUUCGGCGGUUGGGGAUGUGCUCGCGGCUUAUCAGCUUGUUGGUGGGGUAGUGGCUUACCAAGGCUUUGACGGGUAGCCGGCCUGAGAGGGUGACCGGACAAAUUGGGACUGAGAUACGGCCCAGACUCCGACGGGAGGAAGCAGGGGGGAAUAUUGAACAAUGGGCGGAAGCCUGAUGCAGCAACGCCGCGUGCGGGAUGACGGCCUUCGGGUUGUAAACCGCUUUCGCCUGUGACGAAGCGUGAGUGACGGUAAUGGGUAAAGAAGGACCGGCUAACUACGUG
rnacentral:rRNA from 1 species